GGGGAUUUAGCUCAGAGGCAUAAGCGCCUGCCUUGCAAGCAGGCAGUCGUGUUCGAUCCCCG
rfam:Cavia porcellus supercont2_426 genomic scaffold, whole genome shotgun sequence.